UACGUAGGGCGCAAGCGUUGUCCGGAAUUAUUGGGCGUAAAGAGCUCGUAGGCGGCUUGUCACGUCGGGUGUGAAAGCCCGGGGCUUAACCCCGGGUCUGCAUUCGAUACGGGCUGGCUAGAGUGUGGUAGGGGAGAUCGGAAUUCCUGGUGUAGCGGUGAAAUGCGCAGAUAUCAGGAGGAACACCGGUGGCGAAGGCGGAUCUCUGAGCCAUUACUGACGCUGAGGAGCGAAAGCGUGGGGAGCGAACAGG
rnacentral:rRNA from 1 species